UACCCCAAGUUCAUUUCCCACCAGGA
rnacentral:piRNA from 1 species